AAUCCCAUGGUGCAUAACAAAGCCUAAAAGACAGGGACGUCAUUUUCUUCCAGGAAGUUCUCCUAGAGUUCUUGGACGCAAGCGAGGUUCUUGAGGACGCCGGCGGCAGCGGUUUGGGUGGAGGGUGUGCCGACGCGGUAGACCUUAAGAAGGGCGGCGAUGCCCCCACGGGAGCCGGCCGCCAUGGCAUUGUCUUUGGCAAGGGUCAGGGUUUGGAGAGCGGUGCAGGCCUGCUCUCGGGGGGCGCCCCCGCCGCCGUCGAACUCAAGGGCACAGGCGAGGUGGUGAAGGAGAGGGGCGCCAUCGGUGACCAGCACGUGGUGGCAGCUCUCGACGGCGGCAAUCCUUUCGAUCAUGGCCUUG
rnacentral:lncRNA from 1 species